UACGGGGGGGGCAAGCGUUGUUCGGAAUUACUGGGCGUAAAGGGCGCGUAGGCGGUCCGAUAAGUCCCGUGUGAAAUCCCUCGGCUCAACUGAGGAAUGGCACGGGAAACUGCCGGGCUUGAGUUCGGGAGAGGGAAGCGGAAUUCCGGGUGUAGCGGUGAAAUGCGUAGAUAUCCGGAGGAACACCGGUGGCGAAGGCGGCUUCCUGGACCGACACUGACGCUGAGGCGCGAAAGCUAGGGGAGCAAACGGG
rnacentral:rRNA from 1 species